GGUAGGUCCCAGCCCCUGUGUCAUCGCCUCGCUGCCCCUCUGCACAUGCGCGUUUUAUUGUCUCCCAUCCUCCCGGGGAAGGGAAAUGGUAAACUAAGAACUGAUUACCUGUAGAAGUUUCUACACUACCCCUUCAUAAUUCAGUGGAGAACUGGUUAUGAAAUAAUGACCCAACCAUGUGGGAACCACAAACAACACAAGAUUGAAGG